GGCGGACGGGUGAGUAAUGCAUAGGAAUCUGCCCGAUAGUGGGGGAUAACCUGGGGAAACCCAGGCUAAUACCGCAUACGUCCUACGGGAGAAAGGGGGCUUCGGCUCCCGCUAUUGGAUGAGCCUAUGUCGGAUUAGCUAGUUGGUAAGGUAAUGGCUUACCAAGGCAACGAUCCGUAGCUGGUCUGAGAGGAUGAUCAGCCACAUCGGGACUGAGACACGGCCCGAACUCCUACGGGAGGCAGCAGUGGGGAAUAUUGGACAAUGGGGGCAACCCUGAUCCAGCCAUGCCGCGUGUGUGAAGAAGGCCCUCGGGUUGUAAAGCACUUUCAGCGAGGAAGAACGCCUAUCGGUUAAUACCCGGUAGGAAAGACAUCACUCGCAGAAGAAGCACCGGCUAACUCCGUGCCAGCAGCCGCGGUAAUACGGAGGGUGCAAGCGUUAAUCGGAAUUACUGGGCGUAAAGCGCGCGUAGGUGGCUUGAUAAGCCGGUUGUGAAAGCCCCGGGCUCAACCUGGGAACGGCAUCCGGAACUGUCAGGCUAGAGUGCAGGAGAGGAAGGUAGAAUUCCCGGUGUAGCGGUGAAAUGCGUAGAGAUCGGGAGGAAUACCAGUGGCGAAGGCGGCCUUCUGGACUGACACUGACACUGAGGUGCGAAAGCGUGGGUAGCAAACAGGAUUAGAUACCCUGGUAGUCCACGCCGUAAACGUUGUUUACCAGCCGUUGGGUGCCUAGAGCACUUUGUGGCGAAGUUA
rnacentral:rRNA from 1 species